AACCCUGAGUCCAAAGGCCCAAGAACCAGGAGCUCUUAUGUCCAAGGGCAGGAGAAGAUGGAUCUUCCAGCUCAAGAAGCAAAAGAAAGAAUGAGCCCUACCUCUGCCAUUUGUGCUAUUUAAUCUUGGAUGAUGUCCACCCACCUUGGUGAGGGCAGGUCUUUCAGAUACAGUCUAAUAACUCAAAUGCUAAUUUCCUCCAGAAAUUCCCUCACAAACAAACCCAGAAAUAAUGUUUUACAGGCUACCUGGACAUCCCUUAGCACAGUCAAGUUGGCACAUAAAAUUAACCACCAAGAUAUUCUAGAAGUCUGAUUUGCUUAUUUAAAAGAAAAAUAAAU
rnacentral:lncRNA from 1 species